rnacentral:rRNA from 1 species
AGGAAUAUUGGUCAAUGGGCGCAAGCCUGAACCAGCCAAGUAGCGUGAGGGAAGACUGCCCUAUGGGUUGUAAACCUCUUUUGUGCGGGGAUAAAGUGUGGGACGUGUCCCAUAUUGCAGGUACCGCACGAAUAAGGACCGGCUAAUUCCGUGCCAGCAGCCGCGGUAAUACGGAAGGUCCGGGCGUUAUCCGGAUUUAUUGGGUUUAAAGGGAGCGCAGGCCGUCCUUUAAGCGUGCUGUGAAAUGCCGCGGCUCAACCGUGGCACUGCAGCGCGAACUGGAGGACUUGAGUACGCACGAGGUAGGCGGAAUUCGUGGUGUAGCGGUGAAAUGCUUAGAUAUCACGAAGAACUCCGAUUGCGAAGGCAGCUUACCGGAGCGCAACUGACGCUGAGGCUCGAAAGCGCGUGCUAUCGAACAGGAUUAGAUACCCUGGUAGUCCGCGCGGUAAACGAUGGAUGCCCGCCGUUGGGUUUUAGAAUUCAGCGGCCAAGCGAAAGCGUUAAGCAUCCCACCUGGGGAGUACGCCGGCAACGGUGAAACUCAAAGGAAUUGACGGGGGCCCGCACAAGCGGAGGAACAUGUGGUUUAAUUCGAUGAUACGCGAGGAACCUUACCCGGGCUUGAAUUGCAGGAGAACGAUCCAGAGAUGGUGAGGCCCUUCGGGGCUCCUGUGAAGGUGCUGCAUGGUUGUCGUCAGCUCGUGCCGUGAGGUGUCGGCUCAAGUGCCAUAACGAGCGCAACCCCUGUCCAUAGUUGCCAUCAGGUCGUGCUGGGCACUCUGUGGAGACUGCCGCCGUAAGGUGUGAGGAAGGUGGGGAUGACGUCAAAUCAGCACGGCCCUUACGUCCGGGGCUACACACGUGUUACAAUGGGGCAUACAGCGAGUUGGAUGUGCGCAAGUACGUCCGGAUCAAUAAAGUGCCUCUCAGUUCGGACUGGGGUCUGCAACCCGACCCCACGAAGCUGGAUUCGCUAGUAAUCGCGCAUCAGCCAUGGCGCGGUGAAUACGUUCCCG